AGUUCAUCACUUGUGCAUGUGCAACACAUUGGCGGAGGCAAUACGAACUGCAUUUCUCACUAGCUGGACAAGUCGGAAUGGCAAUGCACCUUGGAGAACAAGACUCGAAUUGUGAAAGUCUGGUGGUUUCACAGAACUUUGUUUUAUGUCAAGAUGGGCUGACACCAUGUCACCUGAUGCUGUCACUCUCUGGUUUGACUGGCAUUUCACGACCUUCAGGAUCAGCCCACAUAUGGGGAGUGCUUAAUGCUUGCUUCACUUCUGCCUCGGGUUGGCCUGGUAUUGCACUUUCUUCAGGAUCGGCCCACCGUAUGAAAAAUUGUUGGUCUAUGCGCGGAUGCGAUCUGCCAGAUCCUCACCAUAGACAGCUUCACUGUAAAAAAAGUGGUCUAGCUCACGGCAAAUAGUCAAACAUUUUAAAAUGCGAAUAAAAAGAUGCAUACAAAAGCAAAUAGAGCUAUUUGUAUCAACUGAUAGCAAGCUCAUUGGUAUCAUGCCCAAACUUUGUCACAUAUGAGAUUCUCCAAGCAACUGGAAAGUCAACCUCAACUGUCCUGACAUACUCUCAGCCUGCGCAUAAUGCCUCAGUGUUGCAUUUCACUGCUUUAAGGGGUUUAUUUUGGUUUGGAUGUGGGUAACCUGCAUCUUAGCGUCAGCCAACACUUUGCUUUUUGAGCGCAAGCUCCUUCAAAGAGGCGGCGGCACAGUUCCUUUCCUGAUCAUUCCUCAAUGCAAUGGUCCUUCCUAUUCUUGUCCUUGUUACGCUGCGUGUUCGCCCCAUGGAUGAAGCAUCCUUUUGGUCAGUUGUACAGUCCGAUUUUUCAGACUCCCUAAGGGCCGCUACAAUAUCCGAAAAAAAAAAUGAAUGCAUGUCUUUUACUGCCCUUAAGGGCCCAAAUCGCCACAGGCACGUCCGAAAAAGCUCUGAAGGUCUGCCAGUACACUUAUUAGGCAUAUAGGUGCUUGCACUCUGACAGGAGACGGCAAGUGCACGUGAGUCUAACAAUAUAUGUGCUGCGUCCCAUACACUUCACCGCGUAGCAUCACUGUGCUGAGGCAAAUCUGCCUUUCGAGGACUAGUAAUAUGCAACGCGCCGUGCUUUACGAGGAUUGCAGAGGCAGAGUGGGUACCUUUGCUGACAGCGGUGAAUUCUUUCAAUGAAAAAGACAGCACUGAAUGUCAAGAACCGUAAUAGCAUACCUAGGCCUAGCGUUCCCGCCAUGGUGAUUACAGUGGCCAGUGGAUCUGCGUGUGAGAGUGUCGGUUCAAGGUGGUGAGAUAACACGGCGGUGUUGGCUUUGAUUAAUGCCAUAUCAAAUCUGCAGUUGCAGCACAUUCGGAGUGCGGAUCAAUGGUGGAUAUCUCGGCAACAGUGGGGACAAAUUACUAGUGAUUGAGGACCUUAACCAAAAAAGUGUUAGAGUGGGUUUGAAGAUUAAUAUGCAGAAGACGAUGUUGAAGAAUUCACAUCGCCAGUCAGCCUCUAGAGUCUGUACAGGAGUAAGUCAGUUGCUCGUAAGGGACCCUGAUCAUGAAAAGGCAAUUUACCUAAGAAUAAAAAUGGGGUGGAAUGCAUAUGGCAGGCAUUACCAAAUCAUGGCUGGGAGCUUACCACUGUCAUUGAAAGAAAAAAAUUAAAUUAUGGGGUUUUACUUGCCAAAACCACUUUCUGAUUAUGAGGCACGCCGUAGUGGAGGACUCUGGAAAUUUCGACCACCUAGGGUUCUUUAACGUGCACCUAAAUCUAAGUACACUGGUGUUUUCGCAUUUCGCCCCCAUCGAAAUGCGGCCGCCGUGGCCGGGAUUCGAUCCCCAUCCUCGUGCUCAGCAGCCCAACACCAUAGUCACUGAGCAACCACAGCGGGUGUCACUGAAAAGAAAAGUGUACAACUAUUGCAUUCUACUAGUGCUAACUUAUGAGGCACACAUUAGAAUCGGGUAAAUACCGUAAUUAAACUUUGUGAUAUAUGGUUCUUGCUUCAAAAGUUUCCUAUGGCAAGCAUAAAUGGGAGUUGUCGACACGCGAUCACACGUGUUGAAUGCAUACAUUGUUUCCUAAGCAUCGCCGAGCUAGACGUGCUGCCACCAAAGGGGUCGCUGUUGGGUUCACCAUAGGGGUCAACAGCGAGUCACUGUUCCAAGUUCAAGUUAUCCUGUGAAGGCCAAUUUUACAAUCAAAAUAAGAGAUUCGGGACUGUAGAAAUGUAUGACUGCCGGCCAAGACCUUUGGCCAGGAUUGAAUUCCCCGGAGUCGAAUUAACAGAAGUCGACUGUACCAUAUGGCAAAGGACUUUGUAGCAAGAAUGCAUCUCCUACUACACAUAGCAGAAUAUUGGCAUGCUGCAGUGCUCAGUGGCUGCAGAACAGUAGACUCCCAUAAGUUUGAUCCCGUCUGAAAGUCCCAGCCGACACACGUGCAUUUCUAUAGGUCCAAACUUCGGUUAUUUUGAUACUAAAAUAGGCCUUCACCCAAUAAUUCCAACUUGAGCAGUCAGCAUGCAUGCUGACCCCUACAGUGAACCCAAUAAGCGACCCCUUUGGUGACAUACCUCAGAGGACAGUAGAUGUGUGAAACAGACUUUAUCUC